AGAAAAUAAAGAAAAAAAAAAACAAUUUAAGCAAAAAACAGAAGCAAAGAAAAAGAAUAAAUGAAUCAGCAAACAGAAUGAAAUCCAAACGAAGUCACAUACAGUUUUCCCUAGAACUGAAACUACUAAACACUUUAUAGUCUGUAUCCUAAGCAAGUGGAGUGACUUGUGCUGGACUCUAAGAGAAGAGGGGAAGACUUCUUUAGUGAAUUGGCUAACAUGGUUGUGAGAGCUGGAAAUUCUAAAGUCUGCAAAGACCAGUAGGCUGGAGACCCAGCAAAGAGCUAAUGUUGAAGUUUGAGAAUAUGGAGACAGUCUGGACACAGACAUAGGUGAGUAGCAAAAAGCACCUCUGAAAUUUACAGGUAAUUACGAUGUUCUCUAGAAUGGACCGUCUAGCAAGUGGUAUGUGCUUACUUGGUAAAUAUAAUCUUAUAAAUUAGAAUAUUGAGACUGAGAAUACACAGCAUUUUCAAGUAUGCACUGGUGUAUAUCUUCCACUAAAGACAAAAAUCAGGAUUAUGGUACGAUGUAUACAUUUAACAAUAUAAUCUAGGAUGAUACAACGUGUGCCCCUGGAAGUAAGCAGCACUGCCACCUUAGGUGGAGAUGUGUGGCAUGAAAAUGAGGAGUGAUACAGUGGGGGUAAGAAAGAGGGCACAGAGAUAAAUGGAGUUGCAAAGACCCUAGAGGCUUGGGGUAAUAGAGGCACAGGGAAAGAGAAGACAGGACCUGUGUUAGUUUCCUAGGGCUCCUGUCACACAGUACCACAAGUCAGCGUCUAAACACACUGAGAAAUUACUGUCUCACAGUUCUGGAGGUUCUUAGAAGUUUGAACUGUUGGCAGGGCCAUACUUUAUCUCAAGAAUUGAGUCUUUCUUCUAACUUCUGGGGACUGUCAGCUCUCCUUGGCCUAGCCUGGACAGUAGAUGCAUCACUCAGUCCCUGCCUUCAUCAUCACACAUCCUUCAGAGUGUCUCUAAAUUUUCCUCAAUAAGGAUACCAGUUAUUGGGUUAGAGUUGACCUGAUUCUAGUAUUACCUCAUUUUACUUGAUUACAUCUGCAAAGAUCCUAUUGCCCAAUAAGUUUACAUUUACAGGAACUUGAGGGUUAUGACUUAAGCAUAUGUAUUUGAGGCACACUAUGUAAUCCAUAACAGGGCUAAAAGGGACUAGUUAAAUGUUAUCAAGGGUUAAAGUGCAGUACAGGAUUUAAGGUUGGGGGUGUAUACAGGGACAUUAAGUAUAUGAUUGAUAUGUUUGGAGAGGGAGUAAGAGGGUGAAGGAAAUCCUAGGAAAGGGAUCAUGGAUGAGGAAAAAGUUGGGUCAAAGGCACACAAACCUUUCUGCCUAUGAAGGGUUGAAGAACAAGGGGGUAGAAGGAAGAUAGUUGGCUUGUGAAUGGAGUCUUGGGGGUAUUCAGUGCUCCAAACUGAGAUAAAGGGUGGGAAGGAAAGAUGAUGUGUGGAGAACAUAAAGGGCACCAUCAGAGUUUGUCCAACAGUGGGCAUCAGUAGGCUGAAGGGCCCAUGAGAAAGUAUCAGGGAGUAUAGGUUUGUUGGUAUUAGGUGCAGGUUCAUGAGGAAACUAAGGACUCCUGAUAAUUGAUGCCUGGGACAUUGAGGGCAGUGGACAUAAAAAAUGGGCUGAAGUCAUUGGAAUGGGAGGGAAGAUAAAUGGCAAUGGAAAAAGGAGGAUGUUUGGGCUGAGGGUGCUAGGAUCAGGCAAAUCAGCUUUUGGUCUAGAGGUCUAAAGUGCACCAAAAAUAAGUAAAAUUCACCUUAUAGAUGAACAGUGAAGAAGACUAGGAGGGUCAUUUGCAGGGAAAAAGUUAGGUUUCAUGCAAAUCUAAUGGUCCCAGGGAUAGAGAGAUUGAGGUCACAAGAAGGGUAGAGAGGAGGCAGGAGGAGAGAUCUGGGGUGAUGAAAUUUGCAGGUGUUCAUGUGGAGGGCAAAAAUUCAUCCUACUCAUUAAUUCUCUGAUUUACAUAUGACACAAUUUAUAAUUUCAGCACAUAAGGCAAUAACUUGCUUCUAUAAAAUACCCAGUAAUCCUUUCAAUUGAAUAGACAGUAAAGGACCACAGGCAAAAUUUGAGUAAACAGUGAGACUCAACAUUUUCGCUUCUUUGAGGAUACCAUGCGCAAGGUUUGACCAUGGAAGAGAUCAUGUGGAAACCAUGAGAAGAAAAUGGAUUCUGCCAACAAUCUCAAAGGUCCUGGGAGUGACUGGUGACCUAGAGGCUCCUGAGAAGAUCCAAUACCUCAUGAAACUUUGAUUUUUAACCAUAUAGGGCCCUAAACAGAAAGCCCAGCCAAGUCCACUGAAAUUCAGACUUGUUAAUAAAAGAAUUACUUUUUUAUUACUUUCCUACCUAUGUGCAACUGGAUAUGGCAGUGAUAGAAAACAACUCCACACAGGCAUAUCAUUAACUGUAAAAUGAAAAUUAUAAACUUCAGAUCUUGAGACAUAACCAUUGGUGAGAUUGAGUUAAAUCAUCCCUCUUAUGCAAUUUCAUAUAUACUCUGAAAUUGCAUAACACACACAGACACUAAAAUAUUUGUACCUGGUUCAAUGUUAUGGUCAUAUGAGACUUAAUGUGGAUCAAAUGGUUUACCUUAAUGCUACACAAAGGGGUCUUUUCACACUACUAGAAAUGGAUUUACUGCAACACAAAAACACAUCAUACCUCACAGUAACUGUAAAGGAGACCUUGUUGCAACAUUCAUGUUUAUGGAAUUAUGCAAUUGAAUAUUACCCUUGCAAACUGAUAUU